rnacentral:rRNA from 1 species
GAUGAACGCUGGCGGCGUGCCUAAUACAUGCAAGUCGAGCGAACAGACGAGGAUCUUGCUCCUCUGACGUUAGCGGCGGACGGGUGAGUAACACGUGGAUAACCUACCUAUAAGACUGGGAUAACUUCGGGAAACCGGAGCUAAUACCGGAUAAUAUAUUGAACCGCAUGGUUCAAUAGUGAAAGACGGUUGUGCUGUCACUUAUAGAUGGAUCCGCGCCGCAUUAGCUAGUUGGUAAGGUAACGGCUUACCAAGGCAACGAUGCGUAGCCGACCUGAGAGAGUGAUCGGCCACACUGGAACUGAGACACCGUCCAGACUACUACGGGAGGCAGCAGUAGCGAAUCUUCCGCAAUGGGCGAAAGCCUGACGGAGCAACGCCGCGUGAGUGAUGACGGUCUUCGGAUCGUAAAACUCUGUUAUUAGGGAAGAACCAAUGUGUACGUAACUAUGCACGUCUUGACGGUACCUAAUCAGAAAGCCACGGCUAACUACGUG